GACGAACGCUGGCGGCGUGCUUAACACAUGCAAGUCGAACGGAAAGGCCCUGCUUUUGUGGGGUGCUCGAGUGGCGAACGGGUGAGUAACACGUGAGUAACCUGCCCUUGACUUUGGGAUAACUUCAGGAAACUGGGGCUAAUAUCGGAUAGGAUCUCCUGCUGCAUGGUGGGGGUUGGAAAGUUUCGGCGGUUGGGGAUGGACUCGCGGCUUAUCAGCUUGUUGGUGGGGUAGUGGCUUACCAAGGCUUUGACGGGUAGCCGGCCUGAGAGGGUGACCGGCCUCAUUGGUACUGAGAUACGGCCCAGACGCCUACGGGAGGCAGCAGUCGGGAAUAUUGCACAAUGGGCGGAAGCCUGAUGCAGCAACGCCGCGUGCGGGAUGACGGCCUUCGGGUUGUAAACCGCUUUCGCCUGUGACGAAGCGUGAUUGACGGUAAUGGGUAAAGAAGCACCGGCUAACUACGUG
rnacentral:rRNA from 1 species